UAUAUGCCUGCACCUUACUCUCCAUAAAAAGAUCAACACCAGGGCUUCAGUGAUGGACACCAGAUUCUCAUUUCUUAUGUAAAUGCAGAUAGGAAUGGUAGACAGCAGAAAAUCAUUUCAUGGUACAGUGUUUUUACAUAGCGAAAAACAAUUUUCUGGCCUUUUCUUCUCGGUUGCCAAUUUAAGUCUUCAUAUUUCUUGUUAGCCGAGAUUGAUGUCCUAUCUUGAGAAAACAUAGCAAUCAAGCUCAUGGACCAAGGAGCAUUCUGCUGCUGAAGGGAAAAGAUCGGCAGUGAGAGUCAACAAACACGUCGCGAGUAGGACUGGUAAUAGACCUAACUUUUUUAUAUGUAUAAUUUAAGGGUUAUGUCCAAAAUAGAGUAGACUAAAAUUUAUAAGUUUUCGAAAUAAAAAUUUUUAAGAGAUAAUUAGGGUCAUGAAAGAAAACAAGAGCAUUGAUUCAUUACCCCCCUAGCCAAGAGUUGGAUGAGAAAAAGUGGGAGACGUAAUAGUGUUUGGAAACGGGAAGAUGCGCCUUCAAAAUUUUCUAAUAAGCCCAUGCCCGUUUCAGUGUUUGGUCUAAGCAUCAAAGAAGAAAAACUACCGAGGGAAAACCGAAAUAGUGUUAUUAAUUGUUCUGAAUUUAAACAUGUAAACUAACCGAAAUUCUAUGGUGGCGUGUGUUGCAGAGGUUGCAGAGGAGCUUGCCGAGACCAGAAAUAAAAUUCUCCACUGCACCCCAAAAAAAUUAAAAACUAGAAAGAAGCGGGCCGGGUAGCAUCUCUCACUAAUGAAGACGUGCUACUUAGAUUCUUUUUUUUUUUUGAACCGGUAGAACAAGUUGCAUGUAUUCAAAUUUUGUUAAAUUUGCAUG
rnacentral:lncRNA from 1 species